rnacentral:rRNA from 1 species
UUCCUACGGGAGGCAGCAGUGGGGAAUCUUCCGCAAUGGGCGAAAGCCUGACGGAGCAACGCCGCGUGAUCGAAUGAAGGCCUUCGGGUUGUAAAGAUCUGUUGACAGGGACGAAUAAGCCAUGCGAAUAGUUUGGUGUAUGACGGUACCUGUUUAGAAAGCUCCGGCUAACUACGUGCCAGCAGCCGCGGUAAUACGUAGGGAGCAAGCGUUGUCCGGAAUUACUGGGCGUAAAGGGUGCGUAGGCGGGUUAUCAAGUCAGCGGUAAAAUCGUGGAGCUCAACUCCAUCCAGCCGUUGAAACUG